AUUGAACGCUGGCGGCGUGCCUAACACAUGCAAGUCGAGCGGUAACAGGUGUAGCAAUACAUGCUGACGAGCGGCGGACGGGUGAGUAAUGCUUUGGAAUCUUCCCAGUAGUGGGGAAUAACCAGUCGAAAGAUUGGCUAAUACCGCAUACGUCUGUAAAGGGAAAGCGGGGGGCUCGUAAGACCUCGCGCUAUUGGAUGAGCCAAAGUCGGAUUAGCUAGUUGGGGGGUAAUGGCCUACCAAGGCGACAAUCCGUAGCUGGUCUGAGAGGACGACCAGCCACACCGGAACUGAGACACGGUCCGGACUCCUACGGGAGGCAGCAGUGGGGAAUAUUGGACAAUGGGGGAAACCCUGAUCCAGCGACGCCGCGUGUGUGAAGAAGGCCUGC
rnacentral:rRNA from 1 species